rnacentral:rRNA from 1 species
UACAGGGGGGGCAAGCGUUGUUCGGAAUUACUGGGCGUAAAGGGUUCGUAGGUGGCCAACUAAGUCAGACGUGAAAUCCCUCAGCUUAACUGGGGAACUGCGUCUGAUACUGGAUGGCUUGAGUGUAGGAGAGGAAUGCGGAAUUCCAGGUGUAGCGGUGAAAUGCGCAGAUAUCAGGAGGAACACCGGUGGCGAAGGCGGCUCACUGGACUGGUAUUGACGCUGAGGUGCGAAAGCGUGGGGAGCAAACAGG